rnacentral:rRNA from 1 species
AUUGAACGCUGGCGGCAGGCUUAACACGUGCAAGUCGAGCGGUAACAGAGAGAAGCUUGCUUCUCUGCUGACGAGCGGCGGACGGGUGAGUAAUGCCUAGGAAUCUGCCUAGUAGUGGGGGAUAACUUGCCGAAAGGUAAGCUAAUACCGCAUACGUCCUACGGGAGAAAGGAGGGGACCUUCGGGCCUUUCGCUAUUAGAUGAGCCUAGGUCGGAUUAGUUAGUUGGUGAGGUAAUGGCUCACCAAGACCGCGAUCCGUAACUGGUCUGAGAGGAUGAUCAGUCACACUGGAACUGAGACACGGUCCAGACUCCUACGGGAGGCAGCAGUGGGGAAUAUUGGACAAAGGGGGGAACCCUGAUCCAGCCAUGCCGCGUGUGUGAAGAAGGUCUUAGGAUUGUAAAGCACUUUAAGUUGGGAGGAAGAGCAGUUAACUAAUAUUUGACUGUUUUGACGUUACCGACAGAAUAAGCACCGGCUAACUUCGUG